rnacentral:rRNA from 1 species
GACGAACGCUGGCGGCGUGCUUAACACAUGCAAGUCGAACGGAAAGGCCCUGCUCUUGUUGGGUGCUCGAGUGGCGAACGGGUGAGUAACACGUGAGUAACCUGCCCUUGACUUUGGGAUAACUUCAGGAAACUGGGGCUCAUACCGGAUAUGAUCUCCUGCUGCAUGGUGGGGGUUGGAAAGUUUCGGCGGUUGUGGAUGGUUUCGCGGCUUAUGAGCUUCUUGGUGGGGUAGUGGCUUACGAAGGGUGUGAGGGGUAGCCGGCCUGAGAGGGGAACCAGGGACAAGAGGACUGAGGUAGGGAGCAGAAGGGAAUGGGAGGCAGUAGGGGGGAGUAUGACAGAGUGGGGGGAAGUGAGAGAUAGAGACGUCGGGAGCGGAAUGAUGGGUUACGGGGGGAGAACAGAUGUGGCAGGUAACGAGGAGGGAGUGACGGUAAUGGGUAAAGAAGCAACGGCUAACUACGUG